GACGGGGCCGCACAAGCGGUGGAGCAUGUGGUUAAUUCGAAGCAACGCGAAGAACCUUACCAGGUCUUGACAUCCCGAUGCUAUUUCUAGAGAUAGAAAGUUACUUCGGUACAUCGGUGACAGGUGGUGCAUGGUUGUCGUCAGCUCGUGUCGUGAGAUGUUGGGUUAAGUCCCGCAACGAGCGCAACCCCUAUUGUUAGUUGCCAUCAUUCAGUUGGGCACUCUAGCGAGACUGCCGGUAAUAAACCGGAGGAAGGUGGGGAUGACGUCAAAUCAUCAUGCCCCUUAUGACCUGGGCUACACACGUGCUACAAUGGUUGGUACAACGAGUUGCGAGUCGGUGACGGCGAGCUAAUCUCUUAAAGCCAAUCUCAGUUCGGAUUGUAGGCUGCAACUCGCCUACAUGAAGUCGGAAUCGCUAGUAAUCGCGGAUCAGCACGCCGCGGUGAAUACGUUCCCGGGCCUU
rnacentral:rRNA from 1 species